CAUCAAUUCACAAUCUGUUUACAAUGUUUUCUGAAUAUAUAGUUCAUAUCAUUUUUCUAUUUCAUUCCUAGCAUGAAAAAAUAAGGAGAAAAUACAGCAAUAGGAAAGCAUAUCAAGGGAGAAAAGCAAGACUCAUUCUAAUUAUAAACAACUUGCUAGCAAAGCAGCAAAGAGACUGAUUUAUGUGAUUGAGGGUAUUUAAACUACAAAUAUGGGGGCUGCAAUUCCUUCACAAGAACUUCCUGAUGAGCCCUUUUCUCUUGGUCAGAAGCGGUUGUGACCCUGUUUUUCAAACCCCUGCAUUUCCAGUUAAUGGAAGAGGAGCUAAUGAUGAUUGGCAUUUUAUCUACUGGCUCAGGAGUUAGAAGCUGCACCAGAUUAAGCUCUGUGAAGGACAGGCAGUCACCUCCCAGGUCUGGAGAUCACUUGUGCCUUUUCCACCUCAACAACAGCUGCCAUUUCCACCUAAUUCACUAAAUCUGCUCAGGACUGGAUUUUGACUCUCUUCAGCUUCCCAGAUGAAGGAAGAUUUCCAACCACAAGGCCAAAUUCUUCCAUGAUACAGAUCCACUGAGGCUACUGCAAUUAAAGCAGGAAUGAAUCUGGUGCAUUGUGUCUCAACCAUGGAUGGUGACUCACUGGAAAGAAAGCCCAGCCAGAUGAGAACAAAGCAGUGCCUAAUACCUGAAUGGCCAUUUAAUCAAACAGGAUUCAUUCAAGAAGGAAACUAGCACAGAUAAUGCCACAGCUUAUGCCACACACUGUGGGGAACACAGCACACACUACUGGAGCCUGAAUUGCUGCAUUACUCCCACCAACCCUUUUCUCCAUGAAGAGUAAAUCCAUGCAUCUAUGACACUGACUAGAGAUUUAAGCCUGGCUUAUUAGAAUUCAGUCCACCUGACUCACCUGGUAUGGGCCAAUAGAUUAAGCUUGUGUUCUGCAACAUGGUCUCUGGAGUUCUCUUCCAUCCUACGAGACCGAGAUCCAUGGGUUGGUUCCAUUUAUCUAAUAAGUAAAUUAGAGACUUCUGAAGAUUCAAAAGUCCUUUAAAAUUAUGCAGUUAUUCUCCAUCACCCUAACAGAUCACUUUGCACAGGGCUGAGCUCCAAAGUGUUAUGAACAAAAGCAAACCAAGUAAUUUAAUGUUGCUUAUACUGUGCCUUAAUAUAAAUAAAUAUAUUUGCAAAAUUUUCUGCUUUUGUGAUGAGUGGAAGUAUUCCAUGUUAAGGCACUUUAUACUUCUCAAACUUCAGCUUUUUGCAGAUGAGAUCAAGAUACCUUAAGAGGACUAAUCAGUGAAUUUCCAUCUGCCUCUUAUUGUCUGCAUCCCUUCUCUAUGCCCAGAGCAUUCAAGAGCAAGUGAACCUCAUGUGGCUUAAGGUAAAUUCUGGAAAAGGAUCUUGCGGCCUCCUGAUUUUGGCUUAGAUACCUAUAUUCUGGCCACUAUGCAGUUCAGCCCAAAAAUAUUUUGUGAAUCUGGCCCAGGUGUGUUUUUGAUAGACCUGUCAGUACUUCAGCUGGAAAGCAACUGCAAUUUUGAAACGAUCGAAAAUGUGAAAAAAUUAUUUUUGCCACUCACCAGCUUAUAAAUUCAUCAGUUUCCACUAAAAACAGACUCAUACAAUUUUUUAUGCACCACUUAAAGUUAAAUUGAUAAUAUAGAAAUUAUGGAAAAUUGGCCAACUGAAAAUUGUAUAAACAAUUCUAAAUAUGAGCCCUGAUGCAUUCAAAACAGAAGUAACUGCUUACUUUGACUGGGUAGCCUGCAAUUAUUAAAGAACCAGUAAGGUGAACAUCAGUAGGUUCAAGGCAACUAAAGAAGUAUCCUCCUUUAUGGAUGAUGGAAAUUUCUUUACAGAUGGAAUAGACUACCUACCUUCUAGAUCCACAUCUUUCUGCCCUUGUUGCCCUUGUUGAGGGACUGAAGAAAAGGAAAGGUAUAUUGAAAUCAGAUUUGUGAGGUGCCUAAUUUGGAUGGACUAAAUCCAUUCCAUGCUCCUCCAUCUGAAUUUUUGACCUAAAUUCUGAAGAUUAAUUAAAUAGUAAAUCUAAAUAACUGAUUUGUUUCUUAGUUAAAUUCUUUGGGAAGCUAUCAUAGAAUUCUAGAGGUUUGUUUUUUUAGUGAUAAAAGCUUAGAAAUAAUGUGGCAUACAGUUCUCACAGAACUGUUAUUUCACAUGAGGUUUCUGCCUUGUUUACUUGGAGGUACUAGUCAUAUUCCCUAAGUUUUUUCAUCUUAAUCCUUCAUAAAAUUUGACAUUCUUUCCUGCACUCCUAAAUUUGCUGUUCCCCAGCCUUAGGCAUACCAUGUCCUUCAUCUCACUUUUGAAUGUAUAUUUACUGUACACCAAUCAAUCAAAGAAUCCAGUAAUAACAUGUUUCAUAAACUGCCAGAAUAUCAGUACAAAAGGCCAUCAAAAAAAUCUCUCAAGACAAAAUGAAUAGGUGCAAUUUCUUUAUCUGACAAACUAUUUAACUGGCCUAACAUUUAUUAGAAGUAAAUGAUCCUGACAGCUAAAUGCAACAUGAAAAAAAAAGUAAUUAAAUAAUCAAAUAGAGUAUGUAAAAAAGCAAUAGGUGAACACCUUCUCUGCUGAAGUCAUCAGCACUUCCAGACACAUUUUUCUUUUUGUGAAAUGAAGAUGUACAGGAAAACACAGUAUUCAGCCUAUAAAAAAAGAUUAAAACAGUCCCAAAAGUUCAACAUUUUAUAGUUUUAUAUGUUGUAGUCUGACAAGGAGAAGACCCAUUCUAAGUAGUAUUGCUAAUACUUAUUAUCCAAACCCUGAAUACAAAAACAAUUAUAUUUCUUAUGAUGAACUUCAUAUAGUCCUGGAGGGUAGGAAGAUGCUGGUGGAGAUCCUGAGUAAAACAUUAUAUUACAUAAACCUCAAUAUAUCUUUUAUAGUUCAUUCAAAAAUAUACGUGAAAUAAAAUUAGGAGCUUUGUACAACACCAAACAUUUUUCUAAUUAUUUCCUUUCAUACAAAAGGGAGUGGUUAUCCAUAGGCUUGCCAUUUUUGGCUUUCAUGAUUGGAAUAAGGAUGCAUUUACAUUAUCUAGGCUUCAUUAUACUAGUUUUAUUUCCUUUGCUGCUUCAGUUUGAACUUUUUUUGAGAGAAAAGUUGAUAAAAGGAAGCUAAAUAAACUUGCAAUUUAAAGUAUGAAAAUGCUCUGUGGCAAGAGAUUGGACAGGAAAUCUCCAAAGAGAAAACUCAUUAACAAUACAUGAGCCCUGAAGAUGUGGGAGUUUUUCUGAAAAAUGGGUACCAUUUAAACUUGCAAUUAACUUGUGAAUUAGGAGCAGAUGAAUAUAAUGAUGUCUAAUAAAUGAAUGUCUGGCUUGAAAUAAAUGACUACAUUAAACUUA